GCUGGGGCCCCCCCGUGUGCCCUCCGUCCCUUCAAGCCCGAGGCCGAGGGAGGGGUGGAGACUGUGACAAGUUCCUACUCCUACUGGACCACGAUGAACUUAGCACGGUGUUUCUCAGGCAGUUCACUAUGGGUAUAUGUGGGAGAAGUUCAAGCCUGCCUGGGCCAGGUGUGCCACACUCCUGUCUUCUAAGCAAA